GUCUCUGAUGAUGAUAAAAAAUAUAACUUUCGUUCUUCUGAUAUAUAUAUAAACCAUGCGGAAAAGUUAUGGAGACCUGAACUGAAGAGAC
rnacentral:snoRNA from 2 species